rnacentral:tRNA from 1 species
GCCCGCGUAUCGGUCGCGUCUUCUAAACGCGGAACCGUAGAGGAUCACGCCAGUUCGAAUCUGGCCGCGGGCUCCA